ACACCCCUACACCCGGGAUCUUGUUAAUGGGCAGCUUUUCAUUCUGCAGGUCUAGGGUGAGCCUGAGAUUCUGCAUCUUUAACAAGCUCCCAGAUGAUGCUCCC
rnacentral:pre_miRNA from 1 species